rnacentral:rRNA from 1 species
UACGGAGGGUGCAAGCGUUAUCCGGAUUCACUGGGUUUAAAGGGUGCGUAGGUGGGCUGGUAAGUCAGGGGUGAAAUCUCCAGGCUUAACUUGGAAACUGCCAUUGAUACUAUCAGUCUUGAAUACCGUGGAGGUCAGCGGAAUAUGUCAUGUAGCGGUGAAAUGCUUAGAUAUGACAUAGAACACCAAUUGCGAAGGCAGCUUACUACACGAUCAUUGACACUGAGGCACGAAAGCGUGGGGAGCAAACAGG